ACCAAAAGCAACUUGGGGAAGAAAGGGU
rnacentral:piRNA from 1 species